rnacentral:lncRNA from 1 species
CGAUAAGACCCUGUGCUACCUUGGUGGCGAGACCCGCAUCGUGGUAGUCGACCGCCACUCGUCCCUCUCCGACCUCUCCGCCAAACUCUCCCGGACCCACCUCCGCGGUCGCCCCUUCUCCCUCAAGUACCAGCUCCCCAACGAGGACCUCGACUCCCUCAUCUCCGUCGCCACUGACGAGGACCUUGAAAACAUGAUUGACGAGUACGACCGCAUCCUUACUGCCGCCUCCACCGGUACCAGCGGCGGCUCCAACCGCUCCUCCCGUCUCCGCCUCUUCCUGUUCCCUUCUAAGCCCGAGUCGUCGCCUACGUCCUCGAUCGGAUCGCU